GAUGAACGCUAGCUACAGGCUUAACACAUGCAAGUCGCGGGGCAGCAUGGGGUUUGCUUGCAACCCCUGAUGGCGACCGGCGCACGGGUGAGUAACGCGUAUCCAACCUGCCCUUCACCACGGGAUAACCCGGCGAAAGUCGGACUAAUACCGUAUGUUGUCCAUUGACGGCAUCCGAUUGGGACGAAAGGCUUGGGGGGGAAAGGAGGGGGAUGCGUCCGAUUAGCUUGACGGCGGGGUAACGGCCAACCGUGGCUACGAUCGGUAGGGGUUCUGAGAGGAAGGUCCCCCACACUGGAACUGAGACACGGUCCAGACUCCUACGGGAGGCAGCAGUGAGGAAUAUUGGUCAAUGGGCGUAAGCCUGAACCAGCCAAGUAGCGUGCAGGAUGACGGCCCUAUGGGUUGUAAACUGCUUUUAUGCGGGGAUAAAGUGGCCCACGUGUGGGCUUUUGCAGGUACCGCAUGAAUAAGGACCGGCUAAUUCCGUG
rnacentral:rRNA from 1 species